GAUCCUGGCUCAGGAUGAACGCUAGCGGCAGGCUUAACACAUGCAAGUCGAGGGGUAUAGGUUUUCGGACCUAGAGACCGGCGCACGGGUGCGUAACGCGUAUGCAAUCUACCUUUCACAGAGGGAUAGCCCAGAGAAAUUUGGAUUAAUACCUCAUAGUAUAGCAGUUUCGCAUGAAACCACUAUUAAAGUCACAACGGUGAAAGAUGAGCAUGCGUCCCAUUAGCUAGUUGGUAAGGUAACGGCUUACCAAGGCAACGAUGGGUAGGGGUCCUGAGAGGGAGAUCCCCCACACUGGUACUGAGACACG
rnacentral:rRNA from 1 species